GACGGGGCCCGCACAAGCGGUGGAGCAUGUGGUUUAAUUCGAUGCAACGCGAAGAACCUUACCUGGGCUUGACAUCCCGGGAAUCCCUUGGAAACAAGGAGUGCCCUUCGGGGAACCUGGAGACAGGUGCUGCAUGGCUGUCGUCAGCUCGUGUCGUGAGAUGUUGGGUUAAGUCCCGCAACGAGCGCAACCCUUGUCAUUAGUUGCUACAUUCAGUUGGGCACUCUAAUGAGACUGCCGUUGACAAAACGGAGGAAGGUGGGGAUGACGUCAAAUCAUCAUGCCCCUUAUGUUCUGGGCUACACACGUGCUACAAUGGCCGGUACAGACGGAGGCGAAGCCGCGAGGCGGAGCAAAUCCGAAAAAGCCGGUCUCAGUUCGGAUUGCAGGCUGCAAUUCGCCUGCAUGAAGUCGGAAUCGCUAGUAAUCGCAGGUCAGCAUACUGCGGUGAAUACGUUCCCGGGCCUU
rnacentral:rRNA from 1 species